rnacentral:rRNA from 1 species
AGCGCACACGGUGGAUGCCUUGGCGGUCAGAGGCGAUGAAGGACGUGGCAGCCUGCGAAAAGUAUCGGGGAGCUGGCAACAAGCUUUGAUCCGGUAAUGUCCGAAUGGGGAAACCCACCCGCUUGCGGGUAUCCUGCAGUGAAUACAUAGCUGCUGGAAGCGAACCUGGUGAACUGAAAUAUCUAAGUAACCAGAGGAAAAGAAAUCAACCGAGAUUCCGUAAGUAGCGACGAGCGAACGCGGACUAGCCCUUAAGCUGGAUUGGUUCUAGGAAAGCACUCUGGAAAGAGUGGCCAUAGAAGGUGAUAGCCCUGUAUCUGAAAGGGCCAUUCCAGUGAAGACGAGUAGGGCGGGGCACGUGAAACCCUGUCUGAACAUGGGGGGACCAUCCUCCAAGGCUAAAUACUACUGACCGACCGAUAGUGAACCAGUACCGUGAGGGAAAGGCGAAAAGAACCCCGGAGAGGGGAGUGAAAUAGAACCUGAAACCGUGUGCGUACAAGCAGUAGGAGCUCCGCAAGGAGUGACUGCGUACCUUUUGUAUAAUGGGUCAGCGACUUACUGUUCGUGGCAAGCUUAACCGUAUAGGGGAGGCGAAGGGAAACCGAGUCUGAUAAGGGCGCAUAGUCGCGGGCAGUAGACCCGAAACCGGGUGAUCUAGUCAUGCCCAGGGUGAAGGUGCGGUAACACGCACUGGAGGCCCGAACCCACUCCCGUUGCAAAGGUAGGGGAUGAGGUGUGAUUAGGAGUGAAAAGCUAAUCGAACCCGGAGAUAGCUGGUUCUCCUCGAAAGCUAUUUAGGUAGCGCCUCAUAUGUAUCCUCUCGGGGGUAGAGCACUGUUAUGGCUAGGGGGUCAUCGCGACUUACCAAACCAUUGCAAACUCCGAAUACCGAGACGGACUGUAUGGGAGACACACGGCGGGUGCUAACGUCCGUCGUGAAAAGGGAAACAACCCAGACCCACAGCUAAGGUCCCAAAUUCACUGCUAAGUGGAAAACCAUGUGGAAAGGCACAGACAGCCAGGAGGUUGGCUUAGAAGCAGCCACCCUUUAAAGAAAGCGUAAUAGCUCACUGGUCGAGUCGGUCUGCGGGGAAGAUUUAACGGGGCUAAGCAGUGAACCGAAGCUUGGGGUGCAUACUUUGUAUGCGCGGUAGAGGAGCGUUCCGUAAGCCGUUGAAGGUGGAUUGAGAAGUCUGCUGGAGGUAUCGGAAGUGCGAAUGCUGACAUGAGUAACGAUAAUGCGGGUGAAAAACCCGCACGCCGAAAGCCCAAGGUUUCCUUGCGCAACGUUAAUCGGCGCAGGGUGAGUCGGCCCCUAAGGCGAGGACGAAAGUCGUAGUCGAUGGGAAGCAGGUUAAUAUUCCUGCACCUCGCGUAAGUGCGAUGGAGGGACGGAGAAGGUUAGGUGUACCAGGCGUUGGUUGUCCUGGGGAAAGGCGGUAGGUUUGGAUCUUUGGCAAAUCCGGGAUCCUUUAAGACCGAGCACCGAGACGAGCCUUUAAGGCGAAGUCACUGAUACCACGCUUCCAGGAAAAGCUCCUAAGCUUCAGCUUACGCAGACCGUACCGUAAACCGACACAGGUGGGUAGGAUGAGAAUUCUCAGGCGCUUGAGAGAACUCGGGUGAAGGAACUAGGCAACAUGGCACCGUAACUUCGGGAGAAGGUGCACCCUUUUUGGUGGCUCGUGCGAGCUAUAGCUGAAGAGGGUCGCAGUAACCAGGCCGCUGCGACUGUUUAUCAAAAACACAGCACUCUGCAAACACGAAAGUGGACGUAUAGGGUGUGACGCCUGCCCGGUGCUGGAAGGUUAAUUGAUGGGGUCAGCCGCAAGGCGAAGCUCUUGAUCGAAGCCCCAGUAAACGGCGGCCGUAACUAUAACGGUCCUAAGGUAGCGAAAUUCCUUGUCGGGUAAGUUCCGACCUGCACGAAUGGCGUAACGACAGCGGCGCUGUCUCCACCCGAGACUCAGUGAAAUUGAAAUCGCUGUGAAGAUGCAGCGUUCCCGUGGCAAGACGGAAAGACCCCGUGAACCUUUACUAUAGCUUUACACUGAACGUUGAGUUCGUCUGUGUAGGAUAGGUGGGAGGCUAUGAAACUGUGGCGCUAGCUGCAGUGGAGCCAUCCUUGAAAUACCACCCUGUCGUGCUUGACGUUCUAACCUGGGCCCAUUAUCUGGGUCGGGGACCGUGUAUGGUGGGUAGUUUGACUGGGGCGGUCUCCUCCUAAAGAGUAACGGAGGAGCUCGAAGGUACGCUCAGCGCGGUCGGACAUCGCGCACUGUGUGCAAAGGCAUAAGCGUGCUUGACUGCAAGAUCGACGGAUCAAGCAGGUAGGAAACUAGGACUUAGUGAUCCGGUGGUUCUGUAUGGAAGGGCCAUCGCUCAACGGAUAAAAGGUACUCCGGGGAUAACAGGCUGAUACCGCCCAAGAGUUCAUAUCGACGGCGGUGUUUGGCACCUCGAUGUCGGCUCAUCACAUCCUGGGGCUGUAGUCGGUCCCAAGGGUAUGGCUGUUCGCCAUUUAAAGUGGUACGCGAGCUGGGUUCAGAACGUCGUGAGACAGUUCGGUCCCUAUCUGCCAUGGGCGUUGGAGAUUUGAGAGGGGCUGCUCCUAGUACGAGAGGACCGGAGUGGACGAACCUCUGGUGUUCCGGUUGUCACGCCAGUGGCAUUGCCGGGUAGCUAUGUUCGGAAGCGAUAACCGCUGAAAGCAUCUAAGCGGGAAGCGCGCCUCAAGAUGAGAUCUCCCGGGGCACAAGCCCCCUGAAGGAACCAUGUAGACUACGUGGUUGA